rnacentral:rRNA from 1 species
CCCUUAGAUGUCCUGGGCCGCACGCGCGUUACACUGAUGCAUUCAACGAGCUUAUAACCUUGGCCGAGAGGCCUGGGCAAUCUUGUUAACGUGCAUCGUGAUAGGGAUAGAUUAUUGAAAUUAUUAAUCUUGAACGAGGAAUUCCUAGUAAACGCAGAUCAUCAAUCUGCAUUGAUUACGUCCCUGCCCUUUGUACACACCGCCCGUCGCUACUACCGAUUGGAUGGUUUAGCGAGAACUUUGGACCGGAGCUCGGGUGGUCAGCAAUGGCCGCCCGAGACAUACUGGGAAAUCGCUCCAGCUUGAUCAUCUAGAGGAAGUAAAAGUCGUAACA